rnacentral:rRNA from 1 species
UGUUUCCAUUAAUCAAGAACGAAAGUUAGAGGUUCGAAGGCGAUCAGAUACCGCCCUAGUUCUAACCAUAAACGAUGCCAGCCAGCGAUCCGGCUGUGUUCCUCAAAUGACACGCCGGGCAGCUUCCGGGAAACCAAAGCUUUUGGGUUCCGGGGGAAGUAUGGUUGCAAAGCUGAAACUUAAAGGAAUUGACGGAAGGGCACCACCAGGAAUGGAGCUUGCGGCUUAAUUUGACUCAACACUGGGAAACUCACCCGGCCCGGACACAGGAAGGAUUGACAGAUUAAGAGCUCUUUCUUGAUUCUGUGGGUUGUGGUGCAUGGCCGUUCUUAGUUGGUGGAGCGAUUUGUCUGGUUUAUUCCGAUAACGAACGAGACUCUAGCCUACUAAAUAGACGUUCCGAUCAUUUCUGUCGGACGUUCUUCUUAGAGGGACAAGCGACGUUUAGCCGCACGAGACAGAGCAAUAACAGGUCUGUGAUGCCCUUAGAUGUCCGGGGCCGCACGCGUGCUACAUUGAAGGAAUCAGCGUGUGCUUUCCCUGUCCGACAGGACUGGGUAACCCGUUGAACCUCCUUCGUGCUGGGGAUAGGAAGUUGUAAUUGUCUUCCUUGAACGAGGAAUUCCCAGUAAGCACGAGUCAUCAGCUCGUGUUGAUUACGUCCCUGCCCUUUGUACACACCGCCCGUCGCUACUACCGAUUGAAUGAUUUAGUGAGGUCUUCGGACUGGCGCUCGGAUUGGCCUUCGGGUCGAGCCGGCGUGCCGGAAAGAUGACCAAACUUGAUUAUUUAGAGGAAGUAAAAGUCGUAACAAGGUUUC